rnacentral:tRNA from 1 species
GAGGGUAUACUCAAUUGGUAAAGUAUGUGCUUAGCAUGCAUGAGAUCCUGGAUUCAAUCCCCAGUACCUCCA